UUCCGUAGGUGACCUGCGGAGGGAUCAUUA
rnacentral:rRNA from 1 species